AGUUAAAGCUGUCCAGCCCAACCGGAAAAGGGCUGUGCCAACACAGCUAAGCGCCGCGCGGCACCCCCUAGAGCCCCCCUGACUUGUGAUCAGCCAGCCACAUGCCAAAUGUCCCUAUUUUUUAAGAAAAUAUUUACCCAUAUUUCCCCCUCCUCCCCACUCAGCUAACCCUUCCCACCCCGCUUUUGGAACCACCCCCCGCCCCCGGAGCAGCACCCCACAGACUCCCAGUGCCUUGCAGCUCCUCUCCAAAAGAACCCCAAACCCCAGCCCCCUGCCCGGGAUUACACAGACAGGAGGGAUUGCAAGGAAGAAUCUCAAGGGCUGGCAGGCCCCAGACCCCCCAAUCUGCCACGCAGAGCCACUGCAGCGCUACACACAGCUCCUUCCCCAGCUUGCAAUUAGACUGAAAAUGAAAAGAACAACAGAUUCCACAGCCACAACAGAGAGAAAGGACCAAGCAGAGAGGCAGACGGCAGCUUUCAGACAGCGAAAUGCUACCGGGGUGGCUCUCUAUUGUACCACCACUGGGAUGCUGGAAGAGGAGGCAAUAGAGCUCAGCUUCUUCUGCACUGAAAAACCCAGGCCCCUUGCACUUGAAUUAAAGAGGAUUCUCCACCAGGAGUAAAAGACUUCUGACACACAGCUGAUCUGUGUGUGAUUCCAUCCAGCAGGGGGCAGCGGUGACACAGAUUGCACCACUCAGUUCAGUGCAAUGCGUGGUAUUGCCCACACUGCCUUUCACCCUGGACUGCUAGCAUUGUAGAGAGGGGCAUGAUGGCUCCACAUUGUUACUAUCCUCAUACAGAUGGAGAAACUGCAGGUCACAGAAGAUGGAAGAUUUGCCCAAGGUCACAUAGCAAGUCAUUAGCAUAACCAAGGGUAGAAUCCAGGAUUCCUGGCUCCCAGCCUGCGGUGAAGUCCACUGGCCCUACUGCAAAACUUGGAGCGAGGUCAGACGUGGUUGGCUUCAGCAGUCAUUACCAACUGGCGUAGCCUGAUGCUGCCCACAAACUGCACUGGUGCCAACAGGGGCCCUGGAUAUCCAGCACCUCUUUGCUGUCAACUCAGGUGCAAAGGCCUUGUGCCCACAGCUUGGGCCUGAUUUUGAGCUGGGCCCAAUCUGCUUUUUGGCUUCAUCUUGAAACCCUGGGCAAGUUGCCCAGACCAUGAGGGAAGCACAGACUAUUUGGUGACUUUGAAUGCAGGGACCAUCUUGAGAAUCCCAGAGCAGGUGGCCAGAACUCUGCACUGGCAGUGACACCCUAGCAGCCAGUGGGGGGCCAUACACAGGUCACCAGGAGCUCGGUUUGGUCCAGAACAUGUCUGUAGCACAGGAAGUGUGGAGUCCCUGCGUGAAGCUGGAAGCUUGCUGGGUUAAUGCUGUCAGGGACUCAGCUCCUCCUUCAGGAUUGCUUCCGAGUCACUUCCCAAUUUUCCAGGCAGAUGGCGAACGGUGCAGUUAUCCGCUGCGAGCAGUGGACAUGUGACGAGGAGACACUGGGUUUAUGGUGGGGAACUGCAUGCUUCCAUGGGGGAAGAUGGUGACACAACAGCAAAACUGGCUUAGGCGGGGGAGGAGAGGGGGACUCAUAUGAGGAAAGAUGGAUGGCAGGAACAGCUUCUUGCUGCAAGCCCAGAGCAUCCACCCUG